CCUACGGGGUGCAGCAGUGGGGAAUAUUGGACAAUGGGGGGAACCCUGAUCCAGCGACGCCGCGUGAGUGAAGAAGUAUUUCGGUAUGUAAAGCUCUAUCAGCAGGGAAGAAAGGAAUGACGGUACCUGACUAAGAAGCCCCGGCUAACUACGUGCCAGCAGCCGCGGUAAUACGUAGGGGGCAAGCGUUAUCCGGAUUUACUGGGUGUAAAGGGAGCGUAGACGGCAGUGCAAGUCUGGAGUGAAAGGCGGGGGCUCAACCCCCGGACUGCUCUGGAAACUGUAUGGCUGGAGUGCAGGAGAGGUAAGUGGAAUUCCUAGUGUAGCGGUGAAAUGCGUAGAUAUUAGGAGGAACACCAGUGGCGAAGGCGGCUUACUGGACUGUAACUGACGUUGAGGCUCGAAAGCGUGGGGAGCAAACAGGAUUAGAUACCCCAGUAGUC
rnacentral:rRNA from 1 species